rnacentral:rRNA from 1 species
UACGUAGGGUGCGAGCGUUAAUCGGAAUUACUGGGCGUAAAGGGCGCGCAGGCGGCGUCGCAAGUCAGGCGUGAAAUCCCCGGGCUUAACCUGGGAACUGCACUUGAAACUACGAUGCUGGAGUAUGGCAGAGGGAGGUGGAAUUCCACGUGUAGCGGUGAAAUGCGUAGAUAUCAGGAGGAACACCGGUGGCGAAGGCGGGUCUCUGGGCAGUAACUGACGCUGAGGAGCGAAAGCGUGGGGAGCGAACAGG